rnacentral:rRNA from 1 species
GACGAACGCUGGCGGCGUGCUUAACACAUGCAAGUCGAACGGAAAGGCCCUGCUUGCAGGGUACUCGAGUGGCGAACGGGUGAGUAACACGUGGGUGAUCUGCCCUGCACUUCGGGAUAAGCCUGGGAAACUGGGUCUAAUACCGGAUAGGAGCCAUUUUUAGUGUGAUGGUUGGAAAGUUUUUUCGGUGUAGGAUGAGCUCGCGGCCUAUCAGCUUGUUGGUGGGGUAAUGGCCUACCAAGGCGGCGACGGGUAGCCGGCCUGAGAGGGUGGACGGCCACAUUGGGACUGAGAUACGGCCCAGACUCCUACGGGAGGCAGCAGUGGGGAGUAUUGCACAAUGGGCGCAAGCCUGAUGCAGCGACGCCGCGUGGGGGAUGACGGCCUUCGGGUUGUAAACUCCUUUCGCUAGGGACGAAGCUUUUGUGACGGUACCUAGAUAAGAAGCACCGGCUAACUACGUG